ACGAACUGGUCUAUUCCUUUGGGUUUUUUUCUGCUGCAUUUAGACUUUCAAGCAUAUUACCUGGUCCAGUCUAUACAAACAUCAAUGACAAUAUAGUGGAAUCGAACAGACUACCUGCGAAAGGAGAGGUUGACCAGGUUACACAAAAACAACUCGAUGUUUUGAGAACGCAUGUAAGGGAUCAUUUCGACAAUAUGGCCCAGACCACGAACGAAAUCUGUGACAUCAUCUUUAACGUCAUCGAAACGGACGCUCCCAACAAACCAAUCAGGUUUACAACCGGCGAAUAUGUUGAUACCAGGGUGGCAAUGAAACUUGUUGAUUUUGGCGGGAACACGUGGGUUGAAUCCGCUCGGAAACUGGUCGAGGAACCGACGGGCUACACAAAAUCCAAAAAAAGUGAGGAGCAGGUCUAAAGACUAACUCGUACAGAUCUGCGCAUGUCCAGUAAGCCGUGAAUAAGCAGAGUGGUUUCAAGAACGCCCGUUUGCA